AUGCUUGCUUUGGCAGCACACAUACUAAAAUCACAAUGAAACAGAUCAGCAUGGCCUCUUAACAAGAAUGAGAGAUAAAUAAGUGAAGCAUUCUAUAUUGUG
rnacentral:snRNA from 1 species